rnacentral:rRNA from 1 species
ACGGCGAGUGAAGCGGGAAGAGCUCAAAUUUAAAAUCUGGCAGGCUACGCUUGUCCGAAUUGUAAUCUCGAGAAGUGUUUUCCGCGUUGGCCUGUGUACAAGUCCCUUGGAACAGGGCGUCAUAGAGGGUGAGAAUCCCGUCCUUGACACAGACACCCAAUGCUUUGUGAUACACUCUCAAUGAGUCGAGUUGUUUGGGAAUGCAGCUCAAAAUGGGUGGUAAAUUCCAUCUAAAGCUAAAUACUGGCGAGAGACCGAUAGCGAACAAGUACCGUGAGGGAAAGAUGAAAAGCACUUUGGAAAGAGAGUCAAACAGUACGUGAAAUUGUUGAAAGGGAAACGAUUGAAGUCAGUCGUGCCUGCCUAGAUUCAGCCUUCUGGUGUAUUUCUAGGUCGGCAGGUCAGCAUCAGUUUGGGGGGGUUAACAAGGGAGCUGGGAAUGUGGCAACCUCGGUUGUGUUAUAGCCCAGUUUCGCAUUGAUCUCGCUGGACUGAGGAACGCAGUGCGCCCGCAAGGGUUGGUCUUCGGACACAUUCGCACUUAGGAUGCUGGCAUAAUGGCUUUAAACGACCCGUCUUG